AACAUGUGCAGCACAAACAGUCUCUGGGAAUGCUCCAGGAAUAACCCGUAAAGCUAGAAGUCCCACUAUAAAUGUCUCAAGAAACCAUUCAAAGUGCAAUUAUGUUUCUCCAUUGCUAUGGAUGCUUGGGUCUUCACUCAUAUGACUAAGACAAGGACCCUGCUUAAAAUCUAAAUGAGAC